rnacentral:lncRNA from 1 species
AAUAAAUGGAUCUUUAAAAACAAAAACUGUGUGUGUGUGUGAGAGAGAGAGAGAGAGAGAGAGAGAGAAAUGCAGGUACAGAUUUCGAAACAGAAAUGUCCCUAGGUAGGUUUCUUAUUGCCAAUGACUUUGACUCAGUUUCUGCUGCCAGUGUACUGAAUCAAUAGCAUUGUGGUAAUAAUCCUAUUUUGGAAUAAUAUUCCCCUAGGUUCACACUCCCUCUCUCUCCCUUCCAUUUUUCCCAACAGUAUGCAUAGUCCCAGUCUUUCUAUGGAGCUCCAGCCUCCCUAGUCUUGUCAAGUGCUCAGCUAAUCUUUGCUGAGAAGAGUAGACCUCAUAGGGUAACAACAUCGAGGCAUGUCUAAUUAACAUUUGCUCAACAAAUGACUAAAUGAAAAAUAAAACUUUUUUCUAGACCUUCUUCUGUCUUCCCCCUUGUUUUCCACACAAUAUAUCUGGAUGAAGUGAAAGGACAGGCUUAUUUCUGCUCCUUUUGAUGCGAGGUCGUGGAGGGUGUGACCACGUGUUCUUGUCAUGCUUCUGUCAUGAUCAAAACUCAGCCGAUCAUGGCGGCAUGUGUUUCCCUUCCGAUGCCACACCCACAUCCUGCAUAUGCUGUUUACUCUCCCAAGCAACAUCCUGAAACGCUGAAGACUCUGUAGCAGAUGCUCUGCGUAUCGCUUCACCUAACUGUGCCAGAGUUUCAGCUUUCAAAUUGGAAAGAAAAUAAAAGAAUGUGCAAGGUGACUUGGCUUAAACUCACAGAGGAUCCCACCUGGAGGAGCAGACACCUGGAGGUGCACCUUGUCUUGUGCUCCUAAUAUCACAGACACCAAGACAAGGCUGAGGGAACUCCAAGGAGAAGCUCCAGAGAAGCUGUCCAGAGGCCCUAAGGAUCAUCAGAAUUUAUUACCGCAAGGUCAGUGCUUUUGGGUGGCACGUUGUGACUGACCAACAAAUGCUCACCAGAAUUUUGAACAAGAUAGGAGAAGUUUGGCGCUUUUUUUUUUUUC